CCAAGAUGGCAACUUCCGAUGACCAAAGAAGGAAUCGAGGAUGACUAAGUUUUGAUCAUCAUUUGAAAGGAAUUAGCGGUAACUGCGGUCUAAGCGUUCUAUGAGAAACACACAACUAACUACCGUCAGUUUUUCAAACCUAAUUGACUUCAAAGUCAUCGAUCACAACAAG